GAUGAACGCUGGCGGCGUGCCUAAUACAUGCAAGUCGAGCGAACGGACGAGAAGCUUGCUCCUUUGAUGUUAGCGGCGGACGGGUGAGUAACACGUAGGUAACCUACCUAUAAGACUGGGAUAACUUCGGGAAACCGGAGCUAAUACCGGAUAAUAUUUCGAACCGCAUGGUUCAAUAGUGAAAGAUGGCUUUGCUGUCACUUAUAGAUGGACCUGCGCUGUAUUAGCUAGUUGGUAAGGUAACGGCUUACCAAGGCAACGAUACGUAGCCGACCUGAGAGGGUGAUCGGCCACACUGGAACUGAGACACGGUCCAGACUCCUACGGGAGGCAGCAGUAGGGAAUCUUCCGCAAUGGGCGAAAGCCUGACGGAGCAACGCCGCGUGAGUGAUGAAGGUCUUCGGAUCGUAAAACUCUGUUAUUAGGGAAGAACAAACGUGUAAGUAACUGUGCACGUCUUGACGGUACCUAAUCAGAAAGCCACGGCUAACUACGUG
rnacentral:rRNA from 1 species